UGGGGAAUCUUGCACAAUGGAGGAAACUCUGAUGCAGCGACGCCGCGUGAGCGAUGAAGCCCUUCGGGGUGUAAAGCUCUUUCGGCAGGGACGAUAAUGACGGUACCUGAAGAAGAAGCUGCGGCUAACUACGUGCCAGCAGCCGCGGUAAUACGUAGGCAGCGAGCGUUGUUCGGAAUUACUGGGCGUAAAGAGUGUGUAGGCGGUGCUCUAAGUUCGGUGUGAAAUCUCCUGGCUUAACUGGGAGGGUGCGCCGGAAACUGGAGUGCUCGAACGUGGGAGAGGAAAGCGGAAUUCCUGGUGUAGCGGUGAAAUGCGUAGAUAUCAGGAGGAACACCUGCGGUGUAGACGGCUUUCUGGACCAUUGUUGACGCUGAGACACGAAAGCGUGGGUAGCAAACA
rnacentral:rRNA from 1 species